rnacentral:lncRNA from 13 species
GGGGGAUCUUACAUGAAGAUUUAGGGGAGAAUUGGAAGGAUUGAUUACUCAGGAAGUUCCACAGAGUAUCAAGAAAGCUGCAACUCUUUAGAAAAGGACUGCUCAUCCUUUCGCUCUCUGGGACGAAAUCAAAUCCUUUAUUUGGGAAUGGCGGGAAUGGUGCAGAUUCCAUAAUGGAAUGAUGAUCAUGCUGAAAGCAGCUUCUCCCUGACCGCUGCUACUCAAGCCCUUCUGUGAGGUACUAUCCCUGACAGCCGUGGUCUGGAGGAUCUGAUUGAGAGCGUCUGUCCCCGUGCGGGUCCUGGUUUUCUUCUGUGGAUUUUUUCAUGAGUUUGAGUCAUUUCAGUCACAAUUACUGUAUCUACGAAGUGGCGGCAAGAGAUUAUCCUUCAACACUACAGUAGCUGUACCGGGUUUCUCUAUCUGCUAAGCUUAAGAAGGGGACUCUUGCGAGGGGCAGAAUAAAUAUGUUUGAAGACACAGAGGGCCCCAGGUUCCUCAGAAUCCCCAUGGUCUCCCCUGACCCCAGCCUAUGAAUGAAUGAUGACUGCAUGGCCGGACACAUAAAGACUCUUUAUGGUGGUGGACCUGCA